rnacentral:rRNA from 1 species
GUUGGGUACUCUAUUGAGACUGCCGCUGACAAGGCGGAGGAAGGUGGGGACGACGUCAAGUCAUCAUGGCCCUUACGACCAGGGCUACACACGUGCUACAAUGGGUAUUACAGAGGGCUGCGAAGGUGCGAGCUGGAGCGAAACUCAAAAAGGUACUCUUAGUCCGGAUUGCAGUCUGCAACUCGACUGCAUGAAGUCGGAAUCGCUAGUAAUCGCAGGUCAGAAUACUGCGGUGAAUACGUUCCCGGGUCUUGUA